UGCACUUACAGCAGCAGCAGCAGCCGCCGCCACAGCUUGCUGCGCUUGUUGUGCGACCUCAGCUCGCUCCAUGGACCCCUUCUGCUUCAGCUUGCAGGUCAGUCGGCAUAUUACUGAUCUCUGCUCUCCACUGCAAGAAGAAUUUUGCUAGAAAGAAAUGCAUAGUUGUUAGCUCGUUUCUUACUGUUCUGUUUAUAUUUUCCCUCCCUUUGUUUUCUAGAUAAGCGGAUGUAUGUCAGUUGCGUCAUCAUUUAUCACUGUCCAAUGUCCAUAGACAUCACAACAAGCACUCGAAGAUUUGGGACUGUUCCAACAAGGUAUGUUCUGGUCUUUCCAUGGCUUUGUAGCUUCUAUAGGCGUAUACCAUAUAUUACCAUCUCAGUAAAAGACAUUUCAGCUUCCUGGCCCAACUCAGAUGCCCUGCAGGUUCCCAAAACUCAUCAAACUCUGACCAUGGACAUUAUAUUGUUAUUUAGCUAUUUAGGCUGGUCAUCAUCAUCCUGUCACUUGUUUUGAAAAGCAUGGGUUCACGAUACUAAAAUAUUUAAUGCCAUUUUUUUUUAGCACCGAGCUGUUCAAAACGACAAGCACUUGAGAAGAGUUCUCCCUGCAUUUAUGAAUACUUGUGAAACUCUGACCAUGAAUGUAACCUUAGAUAUUAAAU
rnacentral:lncRNA from 1 species